UACGUAGGUGGCAAGCGUUGUCCGGAUUUACUGGGCGUAAAGGGAGCGUAGGCGGAUACUUAAGUGGGAUGUGAAAUACCUGGGCUUAACUUGGGUGCUGCAUUCCAAACUGGGUGUCUAGAGUGUUGGAGAGGAAAGUGGAAUUCCUAGUGUAGCGGUGAAAUGCGUAGAGAUUAGGAAGAACACCAGUGGCGAAGGCGACUUUCUGGACAAUAACUGACGCUGAGGCUCGAAAGCGUGGGGAGCAAACAGGAUUAGAUACCCUGGUAGUCCCCGCCGUAAACGAUGGGUACUAGGUGUAGGGGGUCUCGACUCCUCCUGUGCCGCCGUUAACACAAUAAGUACCCCGCCUGGGGAGUACGGUCGCAAGAUUAAA
rnacentral:rRNA from 1 species